rnacentral:rRNA from 1 species
CCUACGGGAGACAGCAGUGGGGACUAUUGCACAAUGGGGGAAACCCUGAUGCAGCGACGCCGCGUGAGUGAAGAAGUAUUUCGGUAUGUAAAGCUCUAUCAGCAGGGAAGAAAGCAGACGGUACCUGACUAAGAAGCCCCGGCUAACUACAGGCCAGCAGCCGCGGUAAGACGUAGGGGGCAAGCGUUAUCCGGAUUUACUGGGUGUAAAGGGACCGUAGACGGCGCGGCAAGUCUGAAGUGAAAGGCAGGGGCUUAACCCCUGAACUGCAUUGGAAACUGCCAUGCUAGAGUGCUGGAGAGGGAAGUGGAAGUCCUAGUGUAGCGGUGAAAUGCGUAGAGAUGAGGAGGAACACCAGUGGCGAAGGCGGCUUACUGGACAGUAACUGACGUUGAGGCUCGAAAGCGUGGGGAGCAAACAGGAUUAGAUACCCGUGUAGUC